rnacentral:rRNA from 1 species
ACGGGUGAGUAACGCGUGGUCAACCUACCGUUGAGUGGGGGAUAACUAGCCGAAAGGUUAGCUAAUACCGCAUACGUCUCCGAGUGGCAUCACUUGGUGAUAAAAGGAGCAAUCCGCUCGAUGACGGGACCGCGUCCCAUUAGCUAGUUGGUGGGGUAACGGCCUACCAAGGCACCGAUGGGUAGCUGGUUUGAGAGAGCGACCAGCCACACUGGGACUGAGAAACGGCCCAG